GGUCAAGUUAUUAAGAGCAUAGGGUGAAUGCCUUGGCACCAGGAGCCGAAGAAGGACGGGAUAAGCGCCGAAACGCUACGGGGAGUCGCAAGUAGACAUUGAUCCGUAGAUAUCCGAAUGGGGAAACCCACCUAAGGUAAACCUUAGGUAUCACUUACUGAAUACAUAGGUAAGUGAAGGUAAACCAGGGGAACUGAAACAUCUAAGUACCCUGAGGAAGAGAAAGAAACAUCGAUUUCCUAAGUAGCGGCGAGCGAAAGGGAAAGAGCCCAAACCUGUAAAAGUAAUUUUACAGGGGUUGUGGACAUAGCAUAAAAGGAGAGGCUAUUGUAGUCGAAGAGAGUUGGAAAGCUCCACCAUAGAUGGUGACAGUCCAGUAGACGAAACAAGAAGACUCCAAGCUAUGAUCCAGAGUACCACGAGACACGUGAAACCUUGUGGGAAGCAGGGGGGACCACCCCCCAAGGCUAAAUACUACCUGGUGACCGAUAGAGAAGAAGUACCGUGAGGGAAAGGUGAAAAGAACCCCGGGAGGGGAGUGAAAAAGAACCUGAAACCCUAUGUUUACAAGCAGUGGAAGUUCAUUAAAGAACGACCGCGUACUUUUUGUAGAACGGGCCAACGAGUUACGAUAUGCAGCAAGGUUAAGCACUUAAGGUGUGGAGCCGAAGGGAAACCGAGUCUUAAUAGGGCGAAUUAGUUGUAUGUCGUAGACCCGAAACCGGGUGAUCUAUCCAUGGGCAGGGUGAAACGGAAGUAAAAUUUCGUGGAGGCCCGAACCGUUUAGCGUUUAAAAGCUAUCGGAUGACCUGUGGAUAGGGGUGAAAUUCCAAUCGAACCCGGAUAUAGCUGGUUCUCCUCGAAAUAGCUUUAGGGCUAGCCUCAAGAAAGUGAAGUGGGGGUAGAGCACUGAAUAGCUAAGGGGCGCAAGGCGUUACCGAGGCUUAUCAAACUCCGAAUACCACAUUCAUGAUUCUUGGGAGUCAGACUAUGUGAGAUAAGUUUCAUAGUCGAAAGGGAAACAGCCCAGAUCAUCAGCUAAGGUCCCAAAGUACAGAUUAAGUGGGAAAGGAUGUAAGACUACACAGACAACCAGGAUGUUGGCUUAGAAGCAGCCAUUCAUUGAAAGAGUGCGUAAUAGCUCACUGGUCGAGUGGUCUUGCGCCGAAGAUUACCGGGGCUAAAAUCUGUCACCGAAGCUAUGGGAUAGAAAUAUCGGUAGAGGAGCAUUCUGUAUGGGCAGAAGUCGUACCGAAAGGAGCGGUGGACUGUACAGAAGAGAGAAUGUUGGCAUAAGUAGCGAGAGGUGGGUGAGAAUCCCACCCGUCGAAAGCCUAAGGUUUCCUGAGGAAGGCUCGUCCACUCAGGGUUAGUCGGGGCCUAAGCCGAGGACGAAAGUCGUAGGCGAUGGACAACAGGUUGAUAUUCCUGUACUACCUAUAAGCGUUUGAGAAAUGGAGUGACACAGAAGGAUAGGUUAAGCGUACCGU
rnacentral:ncRNA from 1 species